CCUGAGUUUUGACGGUGAUUUUUACUUCUUGUCCGGGUUUCACUUGCUUCGUUUUAUCCCCAUUUAACUCCAGAAAUUAGUUUUCUGUUUUCCUGCCAAAUCAGAACAAUCAGAUUCCGAUGGAUUUUUAUAUAUGGUGGAGAAAAGCAGAAAGACCCCAAAAAAACGGUUUGGGGUCCCACCCCAUAUAUUAGCAAUUACACUCUUCCUAAUGUGGACCGGGCAAGAGAGUAGUCUGUGGGAGGCAAGUGGGUGGCUUGAUAAGCAGGGGGCAGGAAGAGGAGGGUCCAGCGGGACAAGGUGGAAGUGAGGUCACUUGGAGGGUGUGGUCCAGAGGUGGAAGUGAGGUCAUUUGGAGGGUGUGGUCCAGAGGUGGAUGUGAGGUCAGUUGGAAGGCGUGGUCCAGAGGUGGAAGUGAGGUCAGUUGGAGGGUGUGGUCCAGAGGUGGACGUGAGGUCAGUUAGAGGGUGUGGUCCAGAGGUGGAAGUGAGGUCAGUUGGAGGGUGUGGUCCAGAGGUGGAAGUGAGGUCAGUUGGAGGGUGUGGUCCAGAGGUGGACGUGAGGUCAGUUGGAGGGUGUGGUCAAGAGGUGGAAGUGAGGUCGUGUGAGAGCCCAACCUCUUCUUUAUUA